GACGAACGCUGGCGGCGCGCUUAACACAUGCAAGUCGAACGGAAAGGCCUGCUUUCCCUUGUGGAUUGCGGGUACUCGAGUGGCGAACGGGUGAGUAACACGUGAGUGAUCUGCCCCCAACUUGGGUAUAAGCCUGGGAAACUGGGUCUAAUUCCCGAUAGGACUGCAGGGUGGUGCCUGUGGUGGAAAACGAUUUUCUAGUGGUUGGGGAUGAGCUCGCGGCCUAUCAGCUUGUUGGUGGGGUAAUGGCCUACCAAGGCGGCGACGGGUAGCCGGCCUGAGAGGGUGGACGGCCGCAUUGGGACUGAGAUACGGCCCAGACUCCUACGGGAGGCAGCAGUGGGGAAUAAUGCACAAUGGGCGGAAGCCUGAUGCAGCGACGCCGCGUGGGGGAUGACGGCCUUCGGGUUGUAAACUCCUUUCGACCGCGAGGAAGCCACCUGGUUGGAAGGGUGGUGACGGUAGUGGUAGAAGAAGCACCGGCUAACUACGUG
rnacentral:rRNA from 1 species